rnacentral:rRNA from 1 species
AGAGUUUGAUCCUGGCUCAGGAUGAACGCUAGCUACAGGCUUAACACAUGCAAGUCGAGGGGAAACGACAUCGAAAGCUUGCUUUUGAUGGGCGUCGACCGGCGCACGGGUGAGUAACGCGUAUCCAACCUGCCCACCACUUGGGGAUAACCUUGCGAAAGUAAGACUAAUACCCAAUGAUAUCUCUAGAAGACAUCUGAAAGAGAUUAAAGAUUUAUCGGUGAUGGAUGGGGAUGCGUCUGAUUAGCUUGUUGGCGGGGUAACGGCCACCAAGGCUACGAUCAGUAGGGGUUCUGAGAGGAAGGUCCCCCANAUUGGAACUGAGACACGGUCCAAACUCCUACGGGAGACA